GGGCCCGCACAAGCGGUGGAGUAUGUGGUUUAAUUCGAUGCAACGCGAAGAACCUUACCAGGGUUUGACAUCCUGCGAAUCUCUUGGAAACGAGAGAGUGCCUUCGGGAGCGCAGUGACAGGUGGUGCAUGGCUGUCGUCAGCUCGUGUCGUGAGAUGUUGGGUUAAGUCCCGUAACGAGCGCAACCCUCGUCCUUAGUUGCUACCAUUUAGUUGGGCACUUUAAGGAAACUGCCGGUGAUAAGCCGGAGGAAGGUGGGGAUGACGUCAAAUCAUCACGGCCCUUACGUCCUGGGCUACACACGUGCUACAAUGGCCGGUACAGAGAGCAGCCACCACGCGAGUGGGAGCGAA
rnacentral:rRNA from 1 species